rnacentral:lncRNA from 1 species
UCCCCAAAGGGGUCGAUUGUCUCCAAUUUCACUUGAAUCAAGGGCGAGGCUCCCUGCUUGCUUUAAAGCCCAAUCAACCUCUGCAUCCACAUCUUCAUCUGGAUCGUCCCUUUUCCUCCUUGCGCGGUGGAGACGUAAGGCUGACUUAACUAAAGAAUACUUUGCAAUUUCUACCCUAGCAUCUAAAAGUGCUUUUGAUCCUUCAGUGUAGAAGGGGUACUGAAUACGGUGGAGACGCAAGGCUGACUUAACUAAAGAAUACUUUGCAAUUUCUACCCUAGCAUCUAAAAGUGCUUUUGAUCCUUCAGUGUAGAAGGGGUACUGAAUAUCCUCCUCCUCUG